AUUGAACGCUGGCGGCAUGCUUUACACAUGCAAGUCGAACGGUAACAGGCCUUCGGGUGCUGACGAGUGGCGAACGGGUGAGUAAUGCAUCGGAACGUACCCAGAGGUGGGGGAUAACGCAGCGAAAGCUGUGCUAAUAACGCAUGUGAUCUGAGGAUGAAAGCGGGGGACCGAGCAGCAAUGUUUGGCCUCGCGCCUUUGUAGCGGCCGAUGUCGGAUUAGCUAGUUGGUGGGGUAAAGGCCUACCAAGGCGACGAUCCGUAGCUGGUCUGAGAGGACGACCAGCCACACUGGGACUGAGACACGGCCCAGACUCCUACGGGAGGCAGCAGUGGGGAAUUUUGGACAAUGGGCGCAAGCCUGAUCCAGCAAUGCCGCGUGCGGGAAGAAGGCCUUCGGGUUGUAAACCGCUUUUGGCAGGAACGAAACGGUGUCCGCUAAUACCGGGCGCUAAUGACGGUACCUGCAGAAUAAGCACCGGCUAACUACGUG
rnacentral:rRNA from 1 species